GAGAUCGUGGAUCAACAACUUCGACAGGUUGUCGAGCUUGAUGCCGGUUAUGGGCACCGCUUCGAACGAUGUCAUGAAGCCCUUCAUCAAGAGCAAAUGGCCGUUGGUGGCGAAGAGAAGUGUCGUUGUAGCCAACUGGUAGAC
rnacentral:misc_RNA from 1 species